UGAGGAAUAUUGGGCAAUGCCCGCAAGGGUGACCCAGCAACGCCGCGUGGAGGAUGAAUGUCGUAAGAUUGUAAACUCCUGUUAGAGGGGAAGAAUAGUACCGGUUGGACCGGUAUAUGACUGUACCCUCAGAGAAAGCCCCGGCUAACUACGUGCCAGCAGCCGCGGUAAUACGUAGGGGGCCAGCGUUGUCCGGAUUUACUGGGUGUACAGGGCGCGCAGGCGGGAUAAAAAGUCAGUGGUGAAAUCCUACAGCUUAACUGUAGAACUGCCUUUGAUACUUUUAUUCUUGAGUUCGGGAGAGAGAGACGGAAUUCCAGGUGUAGUGGUGAAAUACGUAGAUAUCUGGAAGAACACCAGUUGCGAAGGCGGUCUCUUGGUCCGACACUGACGCUGAGGCGCGAAAGCGUGGGGAGCAAACA
rnacentral:rRNA from 1 species